UUUGAUUUCAGGGUGUGGCCUCAGGUAGGACAUAGCGAACGCAGAACAAGGGAAAAAUCGCGCAGGGGUGCAGGGGCAGCAAGGCAAGGAGCCCCGCUGCCGAAGGGACGACCCUUGCCCAGUGCUUUCUCUCCAACCUCUUGGCUCCAGCUCCCACCGACCCUGACACGGCCGCUCCCAUAGCUGUCUGCCCGCCACGCAAAGACCCGACCUGGAUUAUCCGCUGAGCACCGGCUGGUAAUUAACUCAUUAAUUUAUCUUGCAGAUGCACGCUGUGGAGCCGCAGGCCCACUCUUUGGGACCUAAGAGGUGCCGUGGGUGCCACCCACACAUCCUGGAGAGCCCAAGCUGCAAUCCUAAAACCUGGCACCUUGGCCUGUCUGCCCCAUUCUGAAUUGUUCUGGGAUAACCGCCUUGUACAGGCAGAAGGGCAGGAUUUAAAGGGAUGCAAUUCCCCAUCACACCUUGUUUAGUCCUGACAAUGCUCUGGCCUCUGGAUUCCAGGGUGGGAUACUUUGGGGGACUGAAAGCAUCAUAGGAGCACAGAAUCCUGAAACAGAGGAAGGGGUUCAUACAAAACCUCUCCGUUUCUGUUCCAGAGCCAGCAUCCCCUCCUUGUACCCAGCAAUGCCCUGGUUUAAGUUCAGGAUGGCAUUUCCAGUGACUCAUUCCUGACUUCCCAUUUGGGGUAGGUUGGGACAGGUUACCCUGCUUCUUUGGGACAGAGGAUAGAUUUUAUGUUGAGCAAAGGGGCUGGGACCACUUGUCUGUGUCUAAUCCAACAAGGAAGUGAGAAGACUCUUAUUGUCCUCGACUUGGGCCCCUAGAGAGGGCUGCUGGCUGAGUGCUGAGGGGAUUCUGGCUUGGAAAUUCAGUACAUCUGGACCCCAAAUGGCUGCCUUCAAGUGGUGGCUGGGUAACUGCCAGUGUCAGUGUGGGGAUUUUUUUUUUGUAGUUAGGAUUGAAUCUUGGGGUGCUUAACCACUGAGCUACAUCCCCAGUCCCGUGUUGUUUUGAGUCAGGAUUUUGAGACAGGGUCACACUAAGUUGCCUACCACCUCUGUAAGUUGCUUGGCUGACCUUGAAUUUGGGAUUCUCCUGCUUCAGCCUUCUGAGUUUCUGGGAUUACAGGCACCAAUGUGCCCAGUGAUUUUUUUUUUAAGCCCUUAUUGGUUACCUCAGAUUUAAAUUAUUGAGGUCACUAUUCCCACAUAGUUUUGUUCACUGAUUCUUUGACUAGGACAAUGCUAUUUGUGGAUAAAUCAUUACAUUGUGGGCCCUAUUGCUAUGCAUAGUUUAAGACUUCCACCAAAUAGAAGGUUAUCCAUGGGAAUUCACCAGUCACUAACCAGUCUGUACUCCAUAUCUUUCUACACCAGAAGCUCUGAUGCCCUCAGCUUCCCUAGGGAAGGCUUUGUGCCAGGUAACAUUUCCUGGUCCUGUGUUCUAAGGAGGGCACCCCAACACAGAGAUGGACAUUUAAUUUCCAUUCUUCUUUCCUUACUGUAUCUCCUUCUCCUCUCCUCUGUGUCUUUUCCAGGUGGAUUCUUUUUCUUUCUUUUUUAAGUUGUCAAUGGACCUUUAUUUUAUGUAUCUAUUUGCAGUGCUAAGAAUGAAAUCCAGUGCCUCACACAAGCUAAGCAAACACACUGCUAUUGAGCCACAACUCCAGCCGGCAAGGUGUAUUCUUUUUCUUUCCUCUGACUGGACACUGUUGGCUGAUUCUGUUAGACAAACCAUGACCUCUGGUGGCUGCCCAGGAAGCUGACUACUGAGUUAAGGAUGGGACCUUAACUCAGUAGUUAAGGUCCAUGCAAGGAGGACAGGGCAGGUGGUACAAGUAUGGCUUUCCCCACAUAUUAGUUAUCCAGGAACAUGGAUGUGGUGGUCUAAUACUGACUUCAAGAAUUUGGAUGUGCUGUAUAGAGGGAGGAAGUAGAGAUUAGUUGCUAAGAAUUCAAAAUGAACCACAAACCAAAGUUAGAAUGAAAUGCAUUAUGUGAUUGAAUUUAGAAUCAACACCCUAAAUUACUUUAUAGUGACUCACAAAUGUACAUGUGAACUUUUUUUUUAAUAUAGAUGCCUAUGUACCAAAACCACAGUUCCAAGCACUACCUUUGAACUAUUAAAACUACAGUAAGUGUGAAUAUUAUUAAAAAUGAAC
rnacentral:lncRNA from 1 species